ACACAUAUCAACCUUUAGAACACAAAACACAUUAAAGAUUACCGAUAUAUAAGGCCUGACAUUUGCCAAAAAAAAAAAUAUCUGGACACUUAGAAUAUUUUCUAGGUUUGAAAAACAGCCGGUCAAUGCCGGUCAACCCACUUUGACCGCUUAUAAAUCCCGAUGUACAAUAGAUAUAGACCUGAUUCCUUUUGGAAUUUAAAGACCACAUAACAAGCUACACCUAACAACUUUUAAACAACAAAAACAGUAAAUAAUCACAGAGAUAUAAGUCUUGACAUUUGCCCAAAAAUCACAGAAUUCGGUUUUUCCAACUUGCUCAAAUCUUCAAAUUCGUGCACUUUGAUGUUAUGGGCUCAUGAUUUUACAACCCAGAACAUUAAUAGACUCCCUAUUACACUACUUUAAACAAUCAAUUGCAUCAAUUAACAUCGAAUCGAAGGAUUUCAAAAUUAGAGAAUUUCAUACCUUUUCUAGCUUCGAUUUUUGAUUUUUUUUGGCUUUGAUGCUUCUGAUUUGUGGUUUGUGAUGGUUGGGCUUUGAUUAGGGACUGAUAUGCUACAAUAAUUCGUAGGUUUUAGAGAGAGAAGCUUAAGGAUGAGAGUUGGAUGAAUUUUAGUGUACAAAAUAUAUUAUCU
rnacentral:lncRNA from 1 species